rnacentral:ncRNA from 2 species
UCCCCACACCGUGGCGCUUUGUGACCGGAUUGCGGGCCACGUUAAACAAACCGCUAAAAGGGUGAGGGACGCGAGCCC